rnacentral:rRNA from 1 species
GAUGAACGCUGGCGGCGUGCUUAACACAUGCAAGUCGAGCGAAGCACUUAAGUUUGAUUCUUUGGAUGAAGACUUUUGUGACUGAGCGGCGGACGGGUGAGUAACGCGUGGGUAACCUGCCUCAUACAGGGGGAUAACAGUUAGAAAUGACUGCUAAUACCGCAUAAGACCACGGUACCGCAUGGUACAGUGGUAAAAACUCCGGUGGUAUGAGAUGGACCCGNGUCUGAUUAGCUGGUUGGUGGGGUAACGGCCCACCAAGGCGACGAUCAGUAGCCGACCUGAGAGGGUGAUCGGCCACAUUGGAACUGAGACACGGUCCAGACUCCUACGGGAGGCAGCAGUGGGGAAUAUUGGGGCAAUGGACGCAAGUCUGACCCGG